GCUUACGGCCAUACCACCCUGAAAACGCCCGAUCUCGUCUGAUCUCGGAAGCUAAGCAGGGUCGGGCCUGGUUAGUACUUGGAUGGGAGACCGCCUGGGAAUACCAGGUGCUGUAAGCU
ensembl:rRNA 5S_rRNA 5S ribosomal RNA